CCUACGGGUGGCAGCAGUGGGGAAUAUUGCGCAAUGGGCGCAACCCUGAAGCAGCAAAGUCGCGUGAUUGAAGACGGCCCUCGGGUUGUAAAGAUUCUUUAUUGGGGACGUAUUUUGAGGGUCGUCGAAGAUUUAGUAUGUGCUAACUACGUGCGAGUGGCCGCGGUAAUACGCAGGGAGCGAGCGUUAACCGGAUUUACUGGGUGUAAAGGGCGUGUAGGCGGGCAAGCAAGCCAGAAGUGAAAUCUGGGGGCUUAACCCCCAAACUGCAUUUGAAACUGCGUGUUUUGAGUGAUGGGGAGGCAGGCGGAAUUCCCGGUGUAGCGGUGAAAUGCGUAGAUAUUAGGAGGAACACCGAUGGCGAAGGCAGCCUACUGGACAUUAACUGACGCUGAGGCGCGAAAGCGUGGGGAGCAAACAGGAUUAGAUACCCCAGUAGUC
rnacentral:rRNA from 1 species